rnacentral:rRNA from 1 species
UACGGAGGUGGCUAGCGUUGUUCGGAAUUACUGGGCGUAAAGCGCACGUAGGCGGACGAGAAAGUCAGAGGUGAAAUCCCGGGGCUCAACCCUGGAACUGCCUUUGAAACUCCUUGUCUUGAGGUCGAGAGAGGUGAGUGGAAUUCCGAGUGUAGAGGUGAAAUUCGUAGAUAUUCGGAGGAACACCAGUGGCGAAGGCGGCUCACUGGCUCGGCACUGACGCUGAGGUGCGAAAGCGUGGGGAGCAAACAGG